ACGUAAGGACUUGGACGGCCGCGAGUCAGGCACGUGCAGGUAUUUGUGGGCGACGACCAAGAUAUCAUCCAUCAUCUGCGGCUGCGGACUGAUGCUCACUACAGCAAGCUAAGUUCUCCCUUCGUUCCUUCCCUCCAAGUCAGGAUGGGGGCUGUUUGCUCUCAUUAACUUCUGGCAGAUGAAGAUGUAAUUGAGGCUCACUCUCAAGCAGAGAUUGAAGAGAAAUUCACGCCGGUAUAUAUUUGGAGCUCAUUGCUGGAGUGAUGUGCCCGGUGCUUCUGCUUUCCUUGUUUCCGUUCUCUCUACUGGAGAAAACACUGAAGAUGGGCUCUUGUAGUUCUCGGCAUCCCCUUGAAGCUCUGUCACCGCACCUCUGUACUAAGCAAACUUGGCAUCCAAAUCCCCAGUCUCAACGGCUCAGCAACUGGCUUUUUAUCCCAGGGACCCGAAGAGAAGGCCUAUGAAAUACAAUGCACUUGAACUUGCAGUCUCCAAAUGCUGCUUUUAAAAAGACUAACAGAGCCCUCAAAAGAAAGCAGCUUCUCAGAACCAUAAUUAAACCAUAGCUCUGAGCUCUUCUAUAGAUGUAGCAUCAGCUGAAUAAAAUCAGUUCUCAAUUUGGUUUGCUUAAAUUGGA